rnacentral:rRNA from 1 species
AAUGAACGCUGGCGGCAGGCCUAACACAUGCAAGUCGAGCGAGCGGCGGACGGGUGAGUAAUGUCUGGGAAACUGCGUGAUGGAGGGGGAUAACUACUGGAAACGGUCGCUAAUACCGCAUACCAUCAGAUGUGCCCAGACGGGAUUAGCUAGUAGGUGGGGGAACGGCUCACCUAGGCGACGAGUCCUAGCUGGUCUGAGAGGAUGACCAGCCACACUGGAACUGAGACACGGUCCAGACUCCUACGGGAGGCAGCAGUGGGGAAUAUUGCACAAUGGGCGCAAGCCUGAUGCAGCCAUGCCGCGUGUGUGAAGAAGGCCUUCGGGUUGUAAAGCACUUUCAGCGGUGAAGCGUUACCCGCCGAGGAAGCACCGGCUAACUCCGUGCCAGCAGCCGCGGUAAUUC